GUGAACGCUGGCGGUAGGCUUAACACAUGCAAGUCGAACGGCAGCACAGUAAGAGCUUGCUCUUACGGGUGGCGAGUGGCGGACGGGUGAGGAAUACAUCGGAAUCUACUUUUUCGUGGGGGAUAACGUAGGGAAACUUACGCUAAUACCGCAUACGACCUACGGGUGAAAGCAGGGGAUCUUCGGACCUUGCGCGAUUGAAUGAGCCGAUGUCGGAUUAGCUAGUUGGCGGGGUAAAGGCCCACCAAGGCGACGAUCCGUAGCUGGUCUGAGAGGAUGAACAGCCACACUGGAACUGAGACACGGUCCAGACUCCUACGGGAGGCAGCAGUGGGGAAUAUUGGACAAUGGGCGCAAGCCUGAUCCAGCCAUACCGCGUGGGUGAAGAAGGCCUUCGGGUUGUAAAGCCCUUUUGUUGGGAAAGAAAAGCAGCGGGUUAAUACCCCGCUGUUCUGACGGUACCCAAAGAAUAAGCACCGGCUAACUUCGUG
rnacentral:rRNA from 1 species